AAAUUGAAGAGUUUGAUCAUGGCUCAGAUUGAACGCUGGCGGCAGGCCUAACACAUGCAAGUCGAACGGUAACAGGAAACAGCUUGCUGUUUCGCUGACGAGUGGCGGACGGGUGAGUAAUGUCUGGGAAACUGCCUGGUGGAGGGGGAUAACUACUGGAAACGGUAGCUAAUACCGCAUAACGUCGCAAGACCAAAGAGGGGGACCUUCGGGCCUCUUGCCAUCGGAUGUGCCCAGAUGGGAUUAGCUAGUAGGUGGGGUAACGGCUCACCUAGGCGACGAUCCCUAGCUGGUCUGAGAGGAUGACCAGCCACACUGGAACUGAGACACGGUCCAGACUCCUACGGGAGGCAGCAGUGGGGAAUAUUGCACAAUGGGCGCAAGCCUGAUGCAGCCAUGCCGCGUGUAUGAAGAAGGCCUUCGGGUUGUAAAGUACUUUCAGCGGGGAGGAAGGGAGUAAAGUUAAUACCUUU
rnacentral:rRNA from 1 species